rnacentral:rRNA from 1 species
UAGGGAAUCUUCCACAAUGGACGAAAGUCUGAUGGAGCAACGCCGCGUGAGUGAAGAAGGAUUUCGGUUCGUAAAACUCUGUUGUAAGGGAAGAACAAGUACAGUAGUAACUGGCUGUACCUUGACGGUACCUUAUUAGAAAGCCACGGCUAACUACGUGCCAGCAGCCGCAGUAAUACGUAGGUGGCAAGCGUUGUCCGGAAUUAUUGGGCGUAAAGCGCGCGCAGGCGGUCCUUUAAGUCUGAUGUGAAAGCCCACGGCUCAACCGUGGAGGGUCAUUGGAAACUGGGGGACUUGAGUGCAGAAGAGGAAAGUGGAAUUCCAAGUGUAGCGGUGAAAUGCGUAGAGAUUUGGAGGAACACCAGUGGCGAAGGCGACUUUCUGGUCUGUAACUGACGCUGAGGCGCGAAAGCGUGGGGAGCAAACAGG